CCUUCGGGAACUCAGACACAGGUGCUGCAUGGCUGUCGUCAGCUCGUGUCGUGAGGAUGUUGGGUUAAGUCCCGUAACGAGCGCAACCCUUGCCUUAGUUACCAGCACGUAAUGGUGGGAACUCUAAGGAGACUGCCGGUGACAAACCGGAGGAAGGUGGGGAUGACGUCAAGUCAUCAUGGCCCUUACGGCCAGGGCUACACACGUGCUACAAUGGUCGGUACAAAGGGUUGCCAAGCCGCGAGGUGGAGCUAAUCCCAUAAAACCGAUCGUAGUCCGGAUCGCAGUCUGCAACUCGACUGCGUGAAGUCGGAAUCGCUAGUAAUCGUGAAUCAGAAUGUCACGGUGAAUACGUUCCCGGGCCUU
rnacentral:rRNA from 1 species